rnacentral:lncRNA from 1 species
AUAGUUAUCAGGACUUCAAUAUGAUCAUGAUUGUGGAACUGUAGCUGUUCUGCUGCAUGCAUUUCAACCUAAUCUCCCCAUGGUAAUGGGAGCGCUGAGCUCAGAUCUGCAAUUGUACUUGAAUUAAAGCAGGCUGACUCGUGGAGUCACAUACUCAGCUGACUGUUAUGACAUACGAAAAUACUCCAAUCUACUGUUGGCUUUUGUUGGUUUGUGUCUUUGCUUUAACAAUUCUGGAAGAGCAUUCGCUGCUUAACUAAUUGUGAACAACAGCUUAGUCCAAUCUGCAUUGUGCUACUCCGAGGCCCAUCCAGAAGUCAAUACCUGAAAUAAUUUGAAAUUUCAGUGUCUAACACUAGUAGUCAGAUAUAAAUAUAAUUAAGGAACAAUUUAACUGGUACGGCCUAAAUCCAUAGAUGAGCUUAGUUGUCCCUAUCUCAGAAGAGUGUUCGUAGUUCCUAAGCCAAACUGGUUUUACAACCAGUUAUACAGGCUACAGGCUGGCACUGGCCAGUCACCACCUGUGUGAUGCAAAGAGUAGGCAGUUGAUCUACAAGGUUCUGAACACCAGUAAAGGAACAGUCACGAGGUGUGAUCUGUAGGACGCAAAGUAGGAUCAAAGGCUGCAACAACUGAAAACCAAAACUAGGCUAAAAAUCUUAGUUGCGUCCUGCUUUAGUGCCUUAGUCACAAAGUUGUCACUUCAAAAGGAAGUACAUAAAUACCACAGAUGGAACUGAAAUAGCAGUGUACCAAGUAAAGCCCCAGUCAACCCAACCACCACGUUUCGGCUAAUAUGACUUGAUUGGGCAUUCAAGAAAAUAUGGGUUGAUUGCAAACAUGAAACAUCUAAUUGAAAUAACAUUGCCUGCAAAUUCCAUGGUUU